rnacentral:rRNA from 1 species
AACGAACGCUGGCGGCAUGCCUAACACAUGCAAGUCGAACGAGACCUUCGGGUCUAGUGGCGCACGGGUGCGUAACGCGUGGGAAUCUGCCCCUUGGUUCGGAAUAACAGCGAGAAAUUGCUGCUAAUACCGGAUAAUGACGUAAGUCCAAAGAUUUAUCGCCAAGGGAUGAGCCCGCGUAGGAUUAGCUAGUUGGUGUGGUAAAGGCGCACCAAGGCGACGAUCCUUAGCUGGUCUGAGAGGAUGAUCAGCCACACUGGGACUGAGACACGGUCCAGACUCCUACGGGAGGCAGCAGUGGGGAAGUAUUGGACAAAUGGGCGAAAGCCUGAUCCAGCCAUGCCGCGUGUGUGAAGAAGGUCUUCGGAUUGUAAAGCACUUUAAGUUGGGAGGAAGGGUAGUAACCU